UGGGGAAUUUGGACAAUGGGCGCAAGCCUGAUCCAGCCAUGCCGCGUGCGGGAAGAAGGCCUUCGGGUUGUAAACCGCUUUUGUCAGGGAAGAAAUCUUCUGAGUUAAUACCUCGGGAGGAUGACGGUACCUGAAGAAUAAGCACCGGCUAACUACGUGCCAGCAGCCGCGGUAAUACGUAGGGUGCAAGCGUUAAUCGGAAUUACUGGGCGUAAAGCGUGCGCAGGCGGUUUUGUAAGACAGAGGUGAAAUCCCCGGGCUCAACCUGGGAACUGCCUUUGUGACUGCAAGGCUUGAGUGCGGCAGAGGGGGAUGGAAUUCCGCGUGUAGCAGUGAAAUGCGUAGAUAUGCGGAGGAACACCGAUGGCGAAGGCAAUCCCCUGGGCCUGCACUGACGCUCAUGCACGAAAGCGUGGGGAGCAAACAGGAUUAGAUACCCCUGGUAGUCCACGCCCUAAACGAUGUCAACUGGUUGUUGGGAAGGUUCCUUCUCAGUAACGUAGCUAACGCGUGAAGUUGACCGCCUGGGGAGUACGGCCGCAAGGUUGAAACUUAAAUGAAUUGACGGGGUCAU
rnacentral:rRNA from 1 species